rnacentral:rRNA from 1 species
AACCCUUGACAUGGAAAGUAUGGAUUGUGGAGACACUUUCCUUCAGUUCGGCUGGAUAGGUGAC